GAUGAACGCUGACAGAAUGCUUAACACAUGCAAGUCAACUUGAAUUUGGGUUUUUAACUUAGGUUUGGGUGGCGGACGGGUGAGUAACGCGUAAAGAACUUGCCUCACAGCUAGGGACAACAUUUGGAAACGAAUGCUAAUACCUAAUAUUAUGAUAAUAGGGCAUCCUAUAAUUAUGAAAGCUAUAAGCGCUGUGAGAGAGCUUUGCGUCCCAUUAGCUAGUUGGAGGGGUAACGGCUCACCAAGGCGAUGAUGGGUAGCCGGCCUGAGAGGGUGAUCGGCCACAAGGGGACUGAGACACGGCCCUUACUCCUACGGGAGGCAGCAGUGGGGAAUAUUGGACAAUGGACCGAGAGUCUGAUCAAGCAAUUCUGUGUGCACGAUGAAGUUUUUCGGAAUGUAAAGUGCUUUCAGUUGGGAAGAAACAAAUGACGGUACCAACAGAAGAAGAGACGGCUAAAUACGUG
rnacentral:rRNA from 1 species